GUGGGAGAUGAUGACGAAAGUGCUGUUGUGUCAACAAAAGAUGGGAAAUAAAAAAAAGUCAAAGCCAUCAAGUGUACAGUUUGGAAAUAAGAGGAAAAACGGACAAAAAUAUAAAGAACCAAUAGCUCCAGCUUGCGACCUCGUUCCCGAUCUCGACUGAACAGUGCCUUUCACCGUGAAGGCCAAGCAGGAGACAACAAAAGAGGGUCUUCAAGCUCUGGCUACUCCUUGGAACUACUGUAAGGUAAAGGCUGGGCUUCACUGUAUUUGUUACGGAGUAUACACAUGGCUAUACUGCCAACAUCCUGUCCCUCACUGAUAUGUUCUAUACCGAAAAUCAGAUUACGAAUAUAUACACUUGUACACCUUUAUUUCGUAUUGUAUAUUUUGCUCAGCAUGUUUCAAACAAUGACCUUCACUAAUGAUGUAAUGGUUGACUCCACUGAUCAGUGGUUAUUUGUCUAUAUGUGCCCUGUGAUUGACGAGUGUCCAGUUCAAGGUGUCGCCCGCCAUUCACCUGAAGUCAGCUGGGAUAGGCUCCAGCACCCCCGCGACCCUCGUGAGGAAAAGCGGUAGAAAAUGAAUGAAUGAAUGAAUGUUUCAAACAAUGACCGUCACUAAUGAUGUAAUGGUUGACUCCACUGAUCACUGGUUAUUUGUCUGUAUGUGUGGUGAUUGAUGAGUGUCCAGUUCAAGGUGUAGCCCGCCAUUCACCUGAAGUCAGCUGGGAUAGGCUCCAGCUCACCACCACUCUGAACGAGAUAUGUGUGAAACAGGCCCAGAUUUACUCAAGGUGAGGCCCACAAUGAGCCCCAGAAGCCUAUUAACACCAGAGGUUUCGGGAAUGCUCCUCAGUGGACAUGGACGCCUUCCUACCAAUUUGUGGGCUAAAUGUUUUGAAUUGACCAGAGAUGCACAGGCUGUUAUUGGAAUCCUCUUCCGCUCCUCCAUGAUGACAUCCCUGGUGGAGCUGGUGGAUGUUAGACACCUGAAAUUCCUCCAACUUCCUUCCACUUGAGGGUCUAGAGACAUACUUUCCACUCCAUCACCUACAACUUCAGCAUCCUCAGCAAGGUACUUGUCAAAUUGGAGGUGUCUUAUGGCUCCUUGUCAUGUUGGCAAACUGCCGAAGGAUGGGAUCAUGUUCUGCUUCAGACGGAAUUUGUGUUUCCCUCAAUGAACCGCAGCUCCUCAGUGCUGGCAGCACUCAUGCAGAACCAGACUAUGAUGCUACUGCAUAGUUGUGUUUCCAGUUUAAACAUUGGCUGUGUGUUGAAUCAUUUUCAGCGGAUAGUAAAUCUCCACUGCUAUACAAGUUUUACACUGACCACUGUAGUUACUCACCGUAAGCCGCUACUUUAUUCUUUAAACUUAAACAGCUUAUAGUCCGGUGCUGUCCAUGUAUUUACGAAUAUGUUGCACUCUUCUGUACUCUGUGUGUAUGCCACCUCCACCCAUCGAGUGGUAGAGACUGUAUGACUGACAAAAGGGCUUACUACAUUCAUCCCGUUGUUCUAUAGAACAAACGUCAAGGUCCUGAAACCAAUGCACAGAUUGAACGCUCUUCCUCCCCGUUUGGAGGCGAAAGACAAGGAAAAUGAUGAUGAUCAAUUUAAUUUUUUAUUGCAAGAUGGGCGGCACGGCGGUCGAGUGGUUAGCGUGCAGACCUCACAGCUAGGAGACUAGGGUUCAAUUCCACCCUUGGCCAUCUCUGUGUGGAGUUUCUCCCUGUGCAUGCGUGGGUUUUCUCCGGGUACUCCGGUUUCCUCCCACAUUCCAAACACACCCACCCUUUUUUUUAACAAUAAAUCUUGUCACAAUUUCAUCUAACGAGAUCUUGUGCAUGAGAUCUUGUGGCACUCCUAAUGACUACUCUAGAGUCUAUGCAAUUUUUAUUUCUGUCGUAUUGUGCUUUGAGAAGAUAAGAUGGAAUAAAAUGGUUACUGAAAUGUGAGGGCUGUACUCACUUUUGUGAGGGUUGUCACCAGCAAGGUGGCGCACAUGCA